CCUACGGGUUGCAGCAGUGAGGAAUCUUGCGCAAUGGGCGAAAGCCUGACGCAGCCACGCCGCGUGCCGGAUGAAGGCCCUAUGGGUUGUAAACGGCUUUUACUAGGGAAGAACGAGAGGGUUUCGAUCUUCUGUGACGGUACCUAGUGAAUAAGCACCGGCUAACUCCGUGCCAGCAGCCGCGGUAAUACGGAGGGUGCAAGCGUUGUCCGGAAUCAUUGGGUGUAAAGGGUACGUAGGCGGGAGCCUAAGUCUGGGGUGAAAUCUUGCCGCUUAACGGUAAAAUGGCCCUGGAUACUGGGUUUCUUGAGUGCAGAAGAGGCAGGUGGAAUUCGUGGUGUAGCGGUGAAAUGCUUAGAUAUCACGAAGAACAUCAGUGGCGAAGGCGGCCUGCUGGUCUGCAACUGACGCUGAGGUACGAAAGCGUGGGGAGCGAACAGGAUUAGAUACCCUAGUAGUC
rnacentral:rRNA from 1 species